rnacentral:lncRNA from 1 species
AAGGCGAGCACGAAAAUCACGGCUCGUUAAAACGUCGGUACGUCCUCCUUCUUUCUCUCUCUCUCUCUCUCUCUCUCUCUCUUUUUCUCUUCUCUCUUUCUCGCUUUUUGUUUUCUGCCACUCUCUAUUUCAUAGCACCUGUCGUCCCUAUCGUAUACUUAAUCUGUUUUAUCGGCCAACGACGAGGCACAGAUACGUCCAUCGUGAUUUCGGCGCACUGCUGACGCGAUGAGUGAUCCGACUAUAGCUUUAGGGCCGUUUUAGUUGACCGUAAUUAAUCGGGUUUCAAAUGAACAGUUAUAUUCGCGUUAAGCACGGCGCAAUCGAACAAUAUACAUCGAUUCUAUUAUGUACAUGACAACGUGAUAUGUUUGUUCUGUCCCUCUCCAUUCUCUCUCUCUCUCUCUCUCUCUCUCUUUGCUGCUCCUCUUUAAACUUUUCUCGCUCUAUCUAUCUAUCUAUGAAUUAUUUUAAUGACAGCAUUUUUUUCACAUUAUGUCGACGUUGUGAAAUUUUAUGCCAGCGUCUACUAUUUCUGUAUUAAUGAAAAAUGAUUCAACGUGCUCAUUUAUCAAUGUUGAUUACGUUCGUUUUUUUCCAUUCCACCAAUGCUAUUAUCGCUGAUACCGCAGUUAACGAGUGCGUGCAAAUAAUAUUUGUCGACUACAUCAUUCAACCACCUUUGGAAUCUAGACAAUUCAGAGUAUCAAUCUCAUGAACGCAAUGACUAAGGGAACGCACAAUUCUCGGAAUACUUUUUUCGUAUUACUGCUGCUGCUGCUGCUGCUGCUGUUUCUGCUCCUCCAUUAUCUUUACCGACCGGUGCUUCGGUCUAACAGAUACAAUUGAGAAAGAUACAUCGUUAGCCCGUGGGCGAUAUCGUAUACUCGAAUCGUGUAUUCCGUUGGUGUACGGGUCCGACGAUUUUUGCAAGUUGAAGCACGAAGACUGGAAGCCUCGAAAGUUUUCGGUCCCGCAGAUACGGUCGAAUAAACGAGAGGACAGGGCGCGGUACACGGCGUGCCAUGCAUACGCGUAGGUAUUAGUUGCUUCUCUCAGUUCACUCAGCGUGUGCAAACAAAUCGAAAGUUUUUCGCAAAAUGGCCGUCACCAGGCUGACACGGAUGUCCGCAUAAACUCUCUCUUUCUCUCUCUCUCUCUCUCUUUCACUUCCCCCCCUCUCUCUUUCUCCCACCCUUCUCUCUUUUCCCGUGCUCUCUCAACUGGCCGCCGACUGGCUGCCUCUCUCGCCACUCGUGAUUUCCCUCACUUCCCACACCACCACAAAUAUGGCGCCUCCACCCGUUUUCCCAACCCCUACAACGUGCCUCUAUAAAGUGAGAGCAACGGAGAAAGAGGGAAAGAGAGCGUGAGAGAGAGAGAGAGAGAGAUCGCGAGGUAUAGAGUACAUACACGCUGAACCAAUGCGAUUGUGUCCGAGUAUCCGUGUGUAGCGAGUACGAUCCUAUGCGUGUGGCAAGGGGGUGCCCCUAUGUGAAUAUCGCGCAGCACACAGUCCCAAGCAGUUUCCUACUUGAUUGCCGCUAUCGUCCGCUCGCUUCGUAAAGGAACUGCUCCACGCGGACUGUCUGUGACGCCUCGACCAACCAGAACGCGUCUAGCCGCUACUUCGCCAAUCGACAGACAGCCAGCCCCACCGCGCGACUCGGCUGCCGCAAAGAGUCGAAUGAAAGCGCGACCUCGGCCAAUGAGAACGAAACUUUUUGAGUUGACGCUCGUACGUUAGAUCCGCGCGGAUUGUUGCUCGAGCCCCACGGAUGUUCCUAUACGGAAUGAAGGUGCUACGCGAAGCCGCAGCGAAACAUGAAAAAUAGGGGGCUACAUGAGGAAAAACACGGACCGGGUAGGAAGGAGGAGGGCUCUGUGGGAUGGAUCCUACGAACCGAGACACCAAAGGCUGGCGCAGUCGUGGUUGUGUGGGGCAGCCAAGAAGGAGGGAUGUCGAGGAUAGAGGCCGAGGAUGAGAAUGGAAAAGUAACAUAACGAAACGUCGAUCCCAUUACCUGGAGCUCUCUCGCCCUGCCGCCACCGUGCACCGAGCCCUGCUUUCGACCCUUAAUCCAAAGGAGGAUUAGAAAACCCCAUUGUCAUGCUUCGCGGAACGCGGGAUGGGAUAUAUACAUACAUAUGUACAGAAUAGCACUCCGCACAAUUUCUCCCUUCCCCCUGCUUCUCCACUCCGCCUUUCGCUUUGCACACAACGGAGGCGGUGGUGCAGGACCCUCCUAAUGAAAUAAAUACGUGACGUGCCGUGCUAGUGACGAUACGAUGGUAGUUCUGUUUAUCGCCAACCAUGAACUUUUUGCACGAUGCACAGAAACGCUCAACCCCCCUCCCCUCCCCUCCCCUCCCUUCCACCUCUAGCUCGACUACUCUCGUUUUACCGUUUUCCUUCCUUCUUCCGUCUCGUUUUAACUCUGUUCCGUCUGGUUCGCUCGCUCUUUAUCUUGUUCCACGGGGCGAAGAAGGAAUAUAAGGCAGUGCUGUGGAGUGUUGGCGAAGCUGUCGGUCGCGCUUGGUCGGCUGCGGUUUAUGCGGAGCCGCCUUGCCUGCCGCCUGCCGCAGCCGGUUUGCGUGUUCGCCCGUGUUCGCUCGGUGGAUACGUGUCCUCGGUGCGGCUCGGUGCUCACCGAACGACCAUGGACGCGCUCAGCUACGGAGAGUAAAGAGGAGAGAUCGAGGGAGAAAGGGUGAAGAAAGGAAAGAGAUGAAGGCAAUGAACGGGAGCGAGACGGACGUAUACGACGAAAUGCGAGGGUGAGGGAGACGGCAGCAGGCGGCAGAACCAGUCGCUGCGGUCGUCGCGGUUAACCGCGCCGGUGCUCUCAACCCACGGCGACCUCGGUAACCGCACGAAGAAUACUGUCUCUCUUCCACGAUGCUACCAAGCUCUAUUGCCAACUCGGAAGCCGUCGGUACGCGAGAAUUUCCUGCUCGGAAAAUCGCCGGGGAAAACUCGAGGAGCUGGUUUAAUUAAUUAUAAUUGGCUGAGUGCAUUGGGCAACCGCCUCUUCUCUGACCAACGUCCACUUCAUCCGCCGCCACGGGAGAGGGAGAGAUCUAAGAGCUCGACUUCUGCUUGAAUGAGAGUACGUACGUCUCGCCAGGUUGAAGAGGAUUUGCGAGGAUGAUCGAGCGCUGCGGGCUGGCCAUUAAAUAUAUUUGAAAGAGGCAUACCGUUUCAAACGGAUCUUCGAAAUAAUUGAACGUCGAAUGGCCGCUAAUAACGUGCAAUUUGUAUAUCGGGCAAACAUCGAUCAACCCGAGUAGCCCCGACGAGACAAAAAUAUUAAUCACAUUUAUUAAUUAUGGAGGAAAUUGAAGGAUUGAGAGCAUCAAGUUAUACUUUUUAAUUUUAUUUCCCUCCACGUGUACACGGGCCUGUCGAUUCGUGUAAAUCGAAAUCAAUGAACGAAAUCGAUGUUAUCGAUCGAGUAACAUGACACAACAUGCUUCGAUGUACAACCUGUAUAUUCAAAAAUUAAGGUUCUUGGAAUAGGAAAAAAAGAAGAAUAACGUUCUCCGCUUUCUUCCACAUGUUGUCCAACUCGAUCUACAAUACCCAUGGAUCGAAUGUCUAAACGAAACACGAAGAGGUUAGAAUCACCUCUCCCAACCGAGAAUCGUUUCCGAGAAGUAUUUAACAAUGGGCCAAUAUUUGGUUGGAAAGAAAGGAAAAAAAAAAACGUCCUAAAAACUCUCGGAAACGGUCGAUUACGCUCGUAAUUGCAGCCAACGCUGCGCUAAUUUUGCUAACUAUGCAAUUAGCCGAGUGUAUUUAAAAAGAUCAAAAUUAAAAAUAGCCAAAACUAGUCGCAGCAGAGUAAAAUUCGGGAAAUUCGCCCUCGAACAAAAGAACAAAAGAAGGGGGAGAAAAAAAAACGGAGAGCAUAGAGAGAGAGAAAAAAGCCAAAAAGAAAGGAGAAAAAAAAAAAGAAACGAAAAGCAAAAGAAGGAACGAAUGGAAAGAAGCCGAUAAAGGACGAUGCUCGGUCUUUUGGCAAAAUAUCACGUUGCCACGAAACGAAUCUAGCAGGCACACUCACGGCUGACAAAUGUCUUCCGCGGUUCUGGCAGCGGCGUACCGUUAUCCAAAUUACAAAUAACACACCGCCGUCGACGUUUUAUCCAACGCCCGGAGACAAAUUGCUCCCGACUUGGGAUGGGUUGGCUCGAAAUUAUCCCCACCAUAUACCCGGCCAUGGUGUAACCGCGCGUCGUGGACUUCGUUAAUACCGGUAGUGGCUCGGCCCCUUGCUCGCCACACGGAAUUAACACGGCGAAGUGUAUUUAUGGAUCCGGCCCCGGCCAGGUAACCCGAGAAAGACCCUUGCCAGAGUUUUGCUUCUUCCCUCUCCCCCCUCCUCCAUUCUCCCCUAUUCUUUUCGCGUUUCCCUCUCUGACCAAGAGCGCUCGGUCGACCAAUGGUCUUUUUUUCUCUCUCUCUCUUUUUCUCUCCACGAAGGAGGAUUAAUUAAUGAGUCUGAUCCAAGCAUUACCCGCUUUACAGAGCCGGUACGUGGCCUUCGAACCGCGUGCACUGGCGUGGGAAUGUCCCUGGCAAUUUCAAUUUCGUUAAUUAUCGCAAAAUCCGCUUUUAUUUGAUGUAACGAUCCGGUCUCGAGGCAACGUAUUUGGUAAUAACUUUCCCAUUAAAUCACCACGCUGCCUGUCCGCAUACCUCCUUCUCCCCCCUCUCUUUUUCCUCUUCUUUCUUUUCACAGUUCCAAACUGUGCGAAGAAGAAGAUAAAGAAAGUGUGAUCUUUUUUUUUUCUUUUUUCUUUUUCUUAUUACCUUCGCGAAACUUCUUUCUCACGUAUCGCAGCUUUUUUUGCUCGAAACGAUCGAAAGCGGUUUACGGUUUUUAUAUAUAUAUAUAUAUAUAUAUAUAUAUAAGGCACGGAGUAUAACUUAUUUGUACUUUCGUCGUUCAUUUCGGUUGGCAAAUAAUAAUUCUUAGCUGGCUUAAAAAGAGAGAGAAAAAAAGAAAGGGGGGAGGGAAAAAAAACGUCCUGUCCAGAAGUUUCGUCUGGUCCUCGUUGUUAUCGUCGUCGUGGUAGUUUCUCUGUACGUCGAAGAAUUAUUGUUACGGGGAUACGGUAAUCAAAUAACCAUCACCCCUGCGCUCCACGCCAUUGGCCCAUAUCCGCGCCGCACGGGACGUGAUACACGUGUAGUCACGGCGUGUAACGCGUGCUCGAAUAUAGUGUUCUCGGUGUGCAACAGUGCGUUCGCCGAGUUGCGCUCUCGGAGUGCCGUAUAAUGCACAUUUGUAAAGUUACACGGGCUUAACACAGGCGGCCAGGUAUUUUUCACCGGUGCCUUAAUUGAAACCUUUUGUCGGGGAAAUAAAGUGUAUCCUUGGUCGUCUCGUUGUGGAUUAACAAAAAGAGCGGAAACAAAAAAAA